rnacentral:ncRNA from 1 species
AUGCUAGUUAGAACAAGGUCAAUCAAUCAGGGAAACUGUAAGAAAAUACUGUUAGCCAGAUAGUCCUUUCUGUUGGAAUAGCCUUCACUGAAACUAGUGCUACAGCUACUGCUUAAAAAGUCCAAACCAACAAAACUGAGUGCUUUAGAGCGCACACCUCGAGAGUUUGAUACACUUCUCUGAAGAAAUCGACGUGGUCAAAGCUGGCUGGCCAACAGUGCACUCAAGCCAUGAAAAACAGAACAGAACUCCGGCUCUUUUUUUGUUGUUUUUUAGGAAACAGGACCAUGAUCAAGAGAAGUGGCAGGGGGCUUUCAUAUUGUGCCACUUGAACGGGAAUUCUUGGGCCAGUGCAAGAUGAACUAAAGUAAAAUAAUGUUUUCAUCAAUCAAGGACAAAAGCUGAGGGAUGCGGCCAAUUCACUAUCUGGUGGCAUUACUCCCAUCACCUCCCAGGCAGUUUAUAGGACACACAAGUCUUUGAGUU